rnacentral:lncRNA from 1 species
UUUUUAUUUGCAACGGAAGUGAUCGGGUGUUAAGUAAAAACGCAAGGGGGGCGGGAGAUAGGACCAAAGCCUUGGGGCGCAGCCUGCCCCACCCCCAAAUUCCUUGAGGCUACUUGCUGUGUGUGUCAGUCAACCCCCCACCCACACCCCACCUUUCCUCAUCUGGGCUGCAGGUCCAGGACAUCCUGUCAAGGAUCAGUGGGGCCAAAGGUGGGAAGAUAAUGGCCCUUGUGUCUCAAGCAGAAGAAACAGUUUUCCAGUUUUGUUUUGUUAUGCUUUUGCUUUUUUAGGAAGAAUAUGGAAGGCAUUUCCUUUUAGAAAGAUGGGACCACUUAGGAUGGAAGAUGGACAGUAGGGUUUUAAAUAUCUUGUCCAAAAGGACAGCUUCCAACUCUUGUUUUUUAAUCCCUUUCUUUCUUACAAGUAAUUCUGCAAUGGAAAAAGUGGCAUCUAGAGAAAAUUAGUCAGUUGGACAAGAGGUUGUUGAAAAAAUAAAAGAGAAAAGAGGGGAAAAAAGGAAAAAUUAGGCCUCUUACAAAAGUUAAAAAGAUUGAGAGAGAUUAUCUUUCUUCUUUUAUAUUCUCACUAUCGUCUCUCUAGUCCGGGCUCCUGUUUCUUCAUAAUCUAUUUAUCACAACAGCUUCUUGCUGAUACUAGGCAUGGGUGGGGUGGGGAGCGUGAGCCGGAUGGAUUGGGGACGGGCGGGGACUGGUUCCCACCCUGGUCUUGUGGUCUCUUCACGUUUACUAUCAAAUUUGGACAGUCUGGGCCUCCUCUGACAGCCGCUAGGGGACCUCAGUAACUCAGAUGAUGAGCUCAAAGGCAGGCCCCCAAAGUACAGCUGUUGCUUCCCCCCACCUUUCCAAUUACACUCUGCAGAAGCAGCCCCCGAUCCAGACAGCCGCACCCUAAAAAUAGGCGGUGCCCUACUGGAUCAUUCUUGGCAAAGGAAGCCAGCUUCAAAUUUGGCCUUGCCUUCAUUUCUAUUCCGGUUUUUCAGGGCGUCAGAGAAUAUUUAUUUGGUUAAAGGAGUCUUCCUACAGACUUUCCCCAAAUCCUUGAAAUCUUUGAGGCUCUCCUGCCCAAUUGUUUCUUCAAAUGUCAUAGUUUACUUUUAUUUGGUCUUUCUUUAAAAAAAUUGACGAGGCAGGCACAGAGAACCUAUAACACCAAUGUCCCUGACACAUAGGUCCAAAAAAUUAAAAAUAUAUAUUGAAGGGUUUUUACAGCUAACCACCACACUGUUGUAUCUAAAUAUCAAUUUACUGAACCCCAGGAUGUUGGUGAAUAUUUCACUUGUUUCCAGUCUUUAGCUAUCAUAGACUAUUCUGUAAGAAAUAACCUUGCAGGGAGGCCGAGGCGGGCGGAUCAUGAGGUCAGGAGA